UACGGGGGGGGCAAGCGUUGUUCGGAAUUACUGGGCGUAAAGGGCGCGUAGGCGGCUCGCUAAGUCGGGUGUGAAAACUCUGGGCUCAACCCAGAGCCUGCAUUCGAAACUGACGAGCUAGAGUUCUGGAGGGGAAAGCGGAAUUCCUGGUGUAGCAGUGAAAUGCGUAGAUAUCAGGAGGAACACCGGUGGCGAAGGCGGCUUUCUGGACAGAAACUGACGCUGAUGCAGCGAAAGCCAGGGGGAGCGAACGGGG
rnacentral:rRNA from 1 species